GAAACGAUGUCUAUGGAUAGCUGGUGUAAAACUUCAGGUAAGUGUAUAAUGUAUUAUACACGUAGGUAAUUUAUAAUAUAAUUCUAUUAUAUUAUGAAAUGGAAACAAAAAUCACAUUAGAAGUUUUUAUUAUCAAAGAUUUUUUUUUUUGAUUUUUUAUUAAAUAUAUAUAAAUCUUUCAUUUCUCAGUGAAUGGAACAUAAAUCUUGUUAAAACACUCUAAGAAUUCGAUUUAAUUUAAGCCUAUGUAACAGCGUAUUUGGCCCGACCCUGGAUGCCGCAUUUAAAAGGGGUGUCUUAAACUUUUAAAACGUGGUCAAAUCGCAAAUUUGUUUAAAUAUCAACCCCAUCAUUCAGUCAACACUUGCUCAGCAGAGCAUAAACAUAAUGCGUUUUAGAACCCAACGUGCAAAGUACAAUAUGUAAAGUGUGCAACUCAAAAUUCCAGUGUGUUGUAUAAAAUGUGUUCUUAUGAACAGGAGUAUUUCAUUUUUAAAUUCCGUCUUUUUCUUGAAUUAAUACUAAAUUUUAAUGUAUUACAUAAACUUUAAAAGGGGAUACCUUUUAUAUUAAUUGCAUUAUACCUCUAUUUUAUUUUUGUUCUUAUGCAGUUAAACGAAGAACUUGUUAUGGUAAAAUGUUUUGAUAUUUAAGUUGAAAAUAAUUUUUUUAUUGAAUAUCUACAUGAAUAUGAUCAAUAUUGAAACCAAAAUAUUUCCAAUUAUAAAUAUUAUGCAAUUUUAAAAAUCAUGUUUUUAUAAGGAAUAAAAUAAUGAUUUACGAGAUAAUUUAUAAUUUUUCUUAUAGUUAAGAUAUUUUUUAUUGAUAGCUGAAGGUAUUACAUUCGGUUGAAUAAUCUAUAGAAAAUGCACGAGAAAAAAUAUUUAUGUAAUCAUACACAAAUAUCUGUAUUUAAAUAUAACUCAGUUUAACACAAACUUGUUAGUUAAUCUCUGUAAAGUCAAAUGACAGAUAAAGAAAAUUAACAUUGAGAGUGCACUCAUUGAUACCUCAGAACUCACAACUAUAGUUGAGUAAUAACUCAACUAUAUUCUUUGGUAAAUAUUAUGUGGAUAAAAUUGUUUGAUCAAGCAGAAAUAUUUCAAAGCGUAAAAAGAUUGAGUUAGUCGUACCAUCACAAAUUAAUGGAAAUAUUGGAUCAAAAAAGUAUAAAACCGUCCUCUCUAAUAAGCAGUCACAAUGAUAACCCAGUGUUCUAGCCUUAUCUUCUAAGACCAUGGUAUGAUUGGCAAACAGGUUAUUGUGAUCGCAAUUUAUGCAAAUAUUUUUAAUAAAAUACUCAAUAGUCGUCUGAAAACAAUGAUACUAGUAAUCGUUUUUACUAUUAGUUUGUGUUUGAUGCUCAUCGAAUUAAUACAAUUAUACACAUUACACAUAUUUUAAUGAAUAAUUAUCAAUAAUAUAAUAUAUAAAUUGGAAUACAUAAUUUAACUAAUAAUAUAAAAAUAGUUUUAAUUGUAAUUUGAAAUUUAUUAAUAGAAGAAAUACAAGAUAGCGGUAUCUUCAAAGACUGUAUGUUAAUUUUUAAUUGAUUCUUAAUACUUUUUAGUAUUAUAUUUUCCUUACAUUUUAAAAUACCAAACACAAAUUAACAAAAAUGAUUUGUAUUUUGCAAUUUUCUUGAAUAAUGAAUUUUAUAGGUUAAUAAUACAUAUACUUUAUGUUCAAUGUAAUUUAAUUAAAAAUUAUAAUUCUUUUUCAAGGCUAUGUGAGGAAACAGUUUUGGACUAAGGCAGUUCAAUUAAGUAAGUAUUUACAUAUUUGAAUGAUAAUUUAUUAUUAUUUAAAUGUCUAUAAAUUAUAAUGAUUGCUUUAUUUACCUAUAUUCUUUGAAAUAAUUUGUAUUAUAUAGGGAAUACUAAUUUAAACAUAGAUAAAAAGAUAGCGAACAAUAGUUAUAGCAUCGUGCGCGAGCUACUAUUAUAUAUAGAACUAAACCACGGCGAUACGCUAUUCUGUGUUAUCAUUUACGACUGGCAAGCCUUCAUUGGAGUUCAUUGAAGCCAUUUCCACAUCAAGGUGAAAAAACAUACAUUACCACACACCGGAGGUCCGGAAAAGAAAAAGAAGUAGAGAUACGUACAGAAAAACAGCCAUAUUAAUGGAGUAAUUAGGUACUUACACUAGAGGCAUGCGGGGUAUAGCAUUUGUACUCGGUAAAAUACGACAGACAGUUAAACACCUUCCCUCCUGAUUCUUCUCUCGAAUUACUUGGUUACGCGUAAGAAGAGUCCCGCUUCCCGACACGCAUAUUAACGUAAGUUUGGCUUUGCCUCAUCAUCGAUCGCUUACUUGUAUUUAAAUCUUGGCCAACGCCAAAAUCAUUCCCCAUGCCCUCUCGAUAUCCAAAAUCAACAUGAAUGAGCAAGGAAUACACGUAACAGGCGAAUAGGAUCCAGAUUAAGUUAGAAUCGCUGAGCUAGAAGAAAUUAGUAUAAGUAUUUCACACAACAGGCAGUAGUAGAAGUGGUUUUGGUAGCGAUGGUAAAGCAAAAAAUCGACAGGUACCGAACAUUCACGGACUAUACUUAAUAGGCGGAAGAUCUGGUUACAAUUGCAGUUUAGAGAGCACAGUCCGCAAAGAAGCCGACUAUGCAGAGUUCCGUGUUACAAAAAGUUGUAUACACUGAAUUUCGAAGUUAGAACUUUAAACAGCCUUACAGGCCAUCAUUAUUUUUUUAUUGAACUUAUAAAAUCAAAUUUAUUAGUUUUGUUUUGAUUUGAGGUAAUGUCAAGAUGCGGUCAACAAUGUCAUUUGUUUAUUUAUACGUAAAUAGAUGUCCAUUGCAUUAUGUAUUUUAAUCAAAGAUUCGAAGAUUACACCAAAAGAUAAUUUCCUGCUUAGAUUUUGUUUGUUAUUAUCAAAUUAAAUUAUUACUACACACAAAGGUAUUUUUGAACAUCAUUAUAAUCUCAUGCAUUAUAUUACUUUAACAAUUUAUAUGUUUUGCGUUUGCAUCGACAGGUGACAACUAUCGACGGUUUUCUUUAUUUUACGUCAAAUCUAAAACGGAUAUUUUUAUUGUUUGAAAUAUUUUUUUUAUUUAAACUUAUAUUUUAAACAACAAUGUAUGCCACUUAUAAUUAUCAUUAUUUUAUUUAAUGCAUUAUAUUUUAUUUUUAUUAAUUUUAAACUAAAAUUAUAGCUGCAUUCACAACGUCAUAAAAUGUCAUAAAUAUAUCUCUCCUAUUUAACAUCAGAUUUAAUAUUGUGAUUGCGUGUAUAAUAUGUUAGGCUGGGGGUAAUGAGUAGAUUAGAUUGAUGGUAAUUGAAACAUUUUGUUUUAGAUAAUUUGGGAGGGGGGAAUUUGUAUUAAAUAUAGACAUUUUGGAAGGAACUGGUACAUACCUAGCUCAUUUAACAUUCAAUUUUUGUCUCCGAAUUUUAGCAAAGGAACAGUUUAAAACCAUAUCAGGUAAGUUGAUAGCCAACAGGUAAUUUAAAAAAUUUAGAAAUAAUAUUGCCUAAUCUCGUAUGGAUACAAAGCAAAAUAAUAAAAUAACAAGAGAUAUUUAUAAUUUAAAUAAUAUUCUUGCAAAUACAAUUCAUUAAACAAUAAUCAUAGGGAUUUAAGAUUUUGUAAAACAAACAAUAUGUAUAAUCACGGCUCACGAGCCUGGACGACAUGAUGAUGAAAUACCUAUUUGGAAAUGAGCACAAACAUCACUAGUUACUAAUAAACAUAAUACUAACACUGAGUUAUUUUGUAAAAUAUAAAUUUAGGGGAGCUUUAGAUAAUUUUUAUAAGCUAAGCCCCAUAGUCAGUGGCACACAUAGAUGAGGGAUAGGGGGCAAAACUCCCUUCGAAAUGUCUCCCUUUACUACAUUUUUUUUUUAAUCAAAUUUUACAUUUAACAACAUAAUAUCUCAUACCAUGGAAUAAAAUAAAAUUUAAUUUCAUCAAUAAUAAUUUAUUCAAUAAUAAUAGUGAUAUUACUGUAUAAUAUUGAAAUCUGUUUCAGGCAAUGCUAAACGAUUCGCAAAAUAUCUCAGAAAAUUUAAUUCUUUCAGUAAGUGAAUAUUAUAUUGCGUUUAUUUAUUUCGUUAUUUGAAUUAGGUAUACAAAUUACUAAGCUAAACUUGGUCAGAAACAGAAAGGGUGUGGAAAAUAAGAUGUAGGAGACUGGCUAAAUUGGACGUACAAACGCAUGAUGCUAAGUUUCAAUCAGUUUAGAUGUAGUUUUAUUUGUCAAAAAUAUCAACGUACUAGACUAUAUAACCGAUGUAAUGAAAAAUUUAAAACUAGCAUUCCUGCAUCAAAAUAUUUUAAAUCCUCAUUCUAGUUCUGUUAUUUUAGAUUGAUAAAAACAUAUUAUUUUGCUUAUAAUAAAGUACUUUGAACCAAGUGAUGUGUAAUAGUGUUGAACUGUAAACUAUUAUUGGUUUAUAUCCACAAAAUCAUGAAACAGCGAGGCUUAUUAGUCUUAUAUAUGGCGACGUAAAUAUUUUGAAAAUUAACGUAAAAGAAGAAAGGGGAUUAAUAAGGAGAACCAAAUAAUCUCUACAUAGGCAUCUAUUUUUAAGUACCUGUAAGGAACUUCAACGUUUGUGUUUUUUUUUAGUUUUUGAAUGAAACGUAAGGGAUUUUGAUAAUAAUACUUAAUCCUAUCCACUUAAUUAGGUUGGUUGACUAUGAAUCCAGAUCAAAAUAUCAUGGCAAUAAUAUCGCGGUCUUUAUAUCGUGGUCAAAAUGUCGUGAAUACAAAAAUGUCGCCACAUAAUAAUUUAUUAUUAUUGUUUAUUAUAAACACAUUAAUAUGCACAUUGCACACUUAUCUAACAAUUUACGAAUAUGAAUAAUAUAAUUGUACAUAAUGGUGACUACACAAUACAAUAUAAUAAAAAAAACCCUAUACACAACUUAUUGUAUACAAAACGGUUACAAAAUGUACAACGUUUAACAUUUUCACUGCUAUUGGCGCAUUAGGUGCAUUUACUCGUUUAUAUUAAAAUCUAAUUAACUGAUAAAAAAAUUAAAGACGGCCAUUUUCACACGAAGGAUGGGCCACUAUUGUAGGUGAAAAGUUGAAAAGGUAGGAUAUAGAGGAGAAUUUAAUUUAUAUCUGUGUAUAACGACAAACCAUUGUUAUCAAAGGUUAUUCAGAGUGAAGUUCUUUUCAUACAUAUAAUUAAUUUUGUGUAGAGAAGAUAUUCCCAAUUUUAAUAUACUAUUGGAAAAUCAAAAACCAACUCGGUGCGCAUCUAUAAAACAUUUGAAAAAGUAGAUUUUUUUGUAUUGUGGAACAUUUUGUAUUCGUGACCUUUUUGCGCACAUAAAGUUUUUUACCAUGACAUUAUUUUUACCGUGGUAAUGCGGUUUUGGACAUUUAUGUUUUCUCAGGUGUUUAUCCUCAAAUCCUCUAUCAUCUUAUUUGAGUGUCUGACUCCAAAUCGGAUUUCUGGAUUUAAGUCUCUUAGAUGAAUGAUAUACGAUAUCUUUUUGUAUCGGUAAAUCUGGAUGGUUUAUCAAUUUAGAUUUUACCAUUCUCACCUACAUCUAUAGUCAUGCAAAAAUAUUACGUAUUUACACAAUAUUUUUUAAUAAUAUAUCACAGCAGUGUAUAUACAUUAUACACUCGCAACUAAAUAAACGCAAAAUUGAGUACCAGAAAUAAUGUGGAGAGUCAAUUAAACCUGUGUUGGAUCUAGUGAGGGGUUCAAAGAGUCCUCUGACCCACAGUUAUUUUUUUUUGAUAAAAUUGGCCUCUUUGGUCUCUAAAAAAGAAAUUUAAAUAAUUGACCUCUUGUAGAGAAAUAUUUUGAAAAAUUUAAGAAAUAAUGGGUCUGAUUACUAAUGGCCUGUCCAUUAUUUUUAUCUAUGAUUCUGCAGUGGUUAAAUGUAUAUCUUAAUAAUAAUAUAGUACCUUAAACUUACUCAAAUAGUUAAACUGUUAAACAAUUUUUAAUUUUAUAUAAUUUACAAACUUUAAAUUUUCACAUGGAAAAUAUUAUACACUAUCGAAAUUAAAGCACAUUACUUAUAAUAAGAUCAGAUUUGGAUAACAUUUUUUUUUUAAAUAUUUAGGAUAAAUAAUUAAAUAUGUAUGGAAAAUAGUAUUCAGAAUAUGUAUUUUUAUCAAAUCUAUACGAUAGUAUUUUCAAAAUACAUUUUUAUAAAAAUGUAAGGUAUGUUCGGAUGAUUCAAAGGAAACUAAAUUAUAUUAUAUUAAAUGAUGAUUAUGCAUUAAAUAAAAUACAUAAAAUACUAGCCAUACCAUGUGGUCUUAAAUAAUUGUGUGUAUCUCUCCGUUAUGAUAAUAUUAACAUUACAAAAUUUAGUCGAUAGGUAUAUACUUAUUAUAUUAACUUACGUAGACAUUUAUAGCAAUAUUGAAAAUGAUCAUCUUGUAGUUAAAUGUUUGUUUAUUUUUUUUAUUUUAGAUUUUGAUAU